UAUACAGCUGUGUUUGUAUUCGUAGUGUCAGCAGAAGAAGUGACCAAGUGCCAUGUAAUGUUCAGUAAAACAUUAAUUGGUCAUUAUUUUCUGAAUCAACCACUAUCUUAACAGACAACUCUCUUCUGCCUUUGCUUAUCAUGCAUAUAUGCUAACCUCUACCUAUUUAUGUGUGUAUCUGUGUUUGUCAACAUCCAUAUAUUCAGGAAUAUGUGUAUGGGCACAUAUAUUUAUACUUGCAGCCAUAGAUGCAGUAUAUUUCAAAAGAUGUGUAGAGAUUUUUUUAUUUUCUUCCUUAAUGGUGUUUUUCAGUGUGACUUUGAUUUAAUGUUGUUUUUUUCGACGUGCAAGGAGAUGCUGCCAUUUGUGUUGAGGUAGAGUAAUUUAUCUUUUGUUCUUUUUUUUCCAAAUGAUUUUUCAUUUGGUAACUGAAGGUUAUGUUUUCACUCCAGGUGGCUGCCAACAGCUGUAUAUAAACAAGUAGUGGGACAAGACAACUGGAGGCAAAUCUGAUAGUGCUGGGUUUGGCAAAGUGACGCAGGAUGUAUCCCAAAUUACACCUUUUUCAAAAGUAGUGCACUACAUACUCUAGGGAAUAGGGUGCCAUUUGGGAUCCUUCAUUUUAAACUGUCAUCUUGAUUGACCAAUCUCCGACCGUCUGUCUGGAUGUGAUAACUACAUAACUCCAUAACUCCAGUGUGAGAAAUGACCGUCUGUCUGGAUGUGAUGAUAACUACAUAACUCCAUAACUCCAGUGUGAGAAAUGACCGUCUGUCUGGAUGUGAUGAUAACUCCAUAACUCCAGUGUGAGAAAUGACCGUCUGUCUGGAUGUGAUGAUAACUACAUAACUCCAUAACUCCAGUGUGAAAAAUGACCGUCUGUCUGGAUGUGAUGAUAACUACAUAACUCCAUAACUCCAGUGUGAGAAAUGACCGUCUGUCUGGAUGUGAUGAUAACUACAUAACUCCAUAACUCCAGUGUGAAAAAUGACCGUCUGUCUGGAUGUGAUGAUAACUACAUAACUCUGGAGGCCUGAUCAUGCAGUGUGAGAAAUGGUGGAAAAGCUUCUCCAUGCUUGUCACUGCUUUAUCCAGAAGACCUAGGACAAUUGGAUUUUCAGUUGAGCGGGUUUGACCUUACUCAUACUACUGACUUGUUAGCUGUUUUUGCACUAUUUUUCCUUCCUUGAAUCACUUUUGUCAGUUUAAGUUUGUUGUUUAUAUUUUUUCCUUUUACUUGUUUAUUUCUCUGAAGUACAAAAACAUGUUGGACAUGUUAACUGUGUGAUACGCCAGUAAUAUACUGACUGGCUUCAUUUUCAGAUUUGUUUUCAUUGCGCAUUAAUGAUAUUCUAUUUAUAUAUUUCAGAAGAAAGUAUAUUAAUUUAAAUUUAAAUUUAUUGCAAAUAAAUACUUUUAAUGUAUAAUUUAAGAAGAAUAGAAUUGUGCAUUUUAAGAUGUCUCCAAAACAAUGCUUGUACAUAAUGCCCAUUAUACAAACAUGAAAAUAAACAUUUC
ensembl:lncRNA